AGAGCGGUAUCGUAAAGCCUGGUGACCCCGGCCACUCGUAGAGUGUCCUAGCCUCCGUUGGAAUGCGGCGGGAAAUAUUGAAAUCAAGGCCCAGGGUGAGCCGCUCG
rnacentral:sRNA from 1 species